UACGUAGGGGGCAAGCGUUGUCCGGAAUUAUUGGGCGUAAAGAGCUCGUAGGCGGUCUGUCACGUCUGCUGUGAAAACUCGGGGCUUAACCCCGGGCCUGCAGUGGGUACGGGCAGACUAGAGUGCGGUAGGGGAGACUGGAAUUCCUGGUGUAGCGGUGAAAUGCGCAGAUAUCAGGAGGAACACCAGUGGCGAAGGCGACUUCCUGGCCUGUUCUUGACGCUGAGGCGCGAAAGCUAGGGGAGCAAACGGG
rnacentral:rRNA from 1 species